UUUGAUUCCAUUAGGUCAUCA
rnacentral:piRNA from 1 species